rnacentral:rRNA from 1 species
CCUUGCCAGCCCGCUCAGAAACUCGAAAGGAAUUGGACGGGGCCCGCACAAGCGGUGGAGUAUGUGGUUUAAUCGACGCAACGCGCAGAACCUUACCUGGUCUUGACAUCCCGAGAAUUUCCUGGAAACAGGAAAGUGCCUCGCAAGAGGAACUUGGUGACAGGUGCUGCAUGGCUGUCGUCAGCUCGUGUCGUGAGAUGUUGGGUUAAGUCCCGCAACGAGCGCAACCCUUGUCUUUAGUUGCCAUCAUUAAGUUGGGCACUCUAAAGAGACUGCCGGUGUCAAACCGGAGGAAGGUGGGGAUGACGUCAAGUCCUCAUGGCCUUUAUGACCAGGGCUACACACGUACUACAAUGGCAGGUACAAAGGGCAGCCACUUAGCGAUAAGGAGCGAAUCCCGUAAAACCUGUCUCAGUCCGGAUUGGAGUCUGCAACUCGACUCCAUGAAGUUGGAAUCGCUAGUAAUCGCAGAUCAGCACGCUGCGGUGAAUACGUUCCCGGGCCUU